UCGUGACCUCAGGUGAUCCACCUGCCUUGGCCUCCCAAAGUGCUGGGAUUACAGAUGUGAGCCACUGCAUCUGGCCAAGGUCAUCUAUCUCUAAUCAGGAAAUAACUAUAUACCUUUGACUUAAAAAAAUAUGUAUUUAAAAUUCUAUCUAAAUAAUCUGUGCAAUCAAUUUUUAUCUUAACUGCAUUUUUUUUAGUCCAAGCCACCCUAAGAAUUUUCUGGAAUGAAAUAUUACUAUAAUACUGUAAAACACGCUGAUAAAAUGGGAUAUAUUUCCAUUGUAAUGAUAUUUUUAAGUUGAUCCAAUCUUAAGAAUGUACAUUACUUCAAGAACUUGUUUUAUUUAUUCUUUCUUUCAAAUAACAAAUUGCUCCAUGCCAAGGAUACUGUGAAUCAGAUCCUACUUUUUUAUAUAGGAUAUAUUAUAUCCCAUAUAUUAUAAUGUGGUGGCUGUUCAGCACUUUCAUUUGUGUUUCUAGUUUAACAUUUUCUUUAAAUACAUUUCAUUUGCUCAUUCCAAUACAGUUUGAUUACUUCUGUUUCAGUAGUAUUCAUUGAUCAUCUACUAUGUCCUAGACCCUAGUUAUAAAGUGAUUCUAAAUGUAAACUUGGUCUUUGCAUUAAUUUUUGCUCACUGAGAAAAUUCUAAGCUAUUGUUACUUCACCCCUUCUUAAAAAUUCAUACAAUAUUUUUCAUGAGUCUGCAUUACUUGAGGACUUAUAUAACUACCUUCUCCCCCUUACUUUGCCCAUUAGAGCAUUCAUGUACCUUUAGAAUCCAUUUCUGCUUUUCUCUUUGCUAAACUCUCAAUUCUGGCUCUUUUCCAAUGUUCUAAGGUUCCUGUGUAUUCACCCAUUAAUGGUUUAUAUGUGAAUGACUUAGUUUCUAUCAGGCUCUGUUUAUGGUCUCCCAGCUCGAUUCUCAUGUUCAUUACUUAUUUGAUACUCUGGGAUGGAAAUAUUUGAUAAAUAAUGAGAAAACUGUUUGAUUGGGUCACAUACACAGAUCCUAGGACUGACUACGUUAAGUGUUAGAUGGCUCCUCUCAGUAAGGGAACAUGGGUGAUAGAGACCACUAAGGUCAUUGUUUGCAUGAAGGCUGGAGAGAAGAAUUCUAAAGCUAGAGAGAAUAUUUUGGAAUAUUCCAGUGAAAUUCUUUCAUUGUGCACUUCAGGAAUCUGAGGGCUAGAGCAAUGAUAUAUCCAGUCAAAAACAGCCUCCAGCUCAGAGGAAAUGCUUUGUGUUAGAUUCUAUUUUUCGUUGUACAUAAUUUCCUUAAAGGCUCACUUAGGAAUGAUUUGGAACAUUUGACAGGAGAUUUGAAUUGAUGGGCACAAAGCCCUCGUAUUUAGUUAUAGUAUAGAGUCAAAAUUUUUAAAUGUCAAAAUAUUUUAAUGAGCUGUGUUAACAUCUAUCUUUCCUAGUAGCUUUUUCCAGUAGAGAGGACAAAUAUCCUUCUCUCUACCCAUCCAAUGUUGAUGACUUAACUACUUAUAACAAAAGAUGAAUUAUAAUGAGAAAAACAUACAAAUUUAUUUAGUUUUACAUGAUAUGGAAGUAAAUGAUUAAUUCCAUAUAUUUUUAUGGUAGCUUUGAUGAAGAGUGGAUACUGAUGGAGAAAUACGAUAGGACAAAAGGGGUGUGAUCUAGUGGAGAUAAACGGGGGAAUUUAGCAAUGCCUGUUUUUCAGGUCCUCUCUGUGACCCUUCAUCUUCAGAGAUGAGCAUGUUCCUUUCCUCCAGGGAUCAGGAGACCCUCACAUGAGUGUCUUCUGACCUGCUUCUUGGAAAUGUUGGAAAAGCUUUCCUAAGCUGUAUGCCCUGGGGGGAGAAGCAUAUGUGUGGGUGAGGAGGGGAGGUCAGAGAGACUUUCCUGCUUGUUUUUUUAAGAUGCCAAGGUAUUGUAUUUUGAGGAGUGUGUCCUGAAUCAUAUCAUCCUUUUCAGUGUGACUUUCCUUUAAACACAGUGUUCUAGGAUAGGGGUUAGCAAAUGACUUCUAUAAAAACAUCAGAUAGUAACCAUCUUUGUCUUGGCAGCCCAUACGGUCCCUGCUGCAACUACUCAACUCUGCUGUUGUGGCACAAAAGCAGUAGUACAGAAAACAUAGACCAAGAAGAGUGACUGUGAUUCAAUAAAACAUUAUUUGUAGAUACUAAAAUUUGAAUAUCCCAUAAUUUUCACACAUUAUUUUACUUAUUUUUUCCAACCAUUGAAAAUAAUAAUAACUUAGCUCACUAGUUCAACAGAAACAGGUGGAUUUGGCCUGUUGCUGUACUUUCUAAACCCUUGUUCUAUGACAUUACAGUCACACAGACAAACCAAAACCAAAACAAAAUAAUAAAAAAUGCAUUUUUCUGGCAAUACAAAGACAUAUCUUAAAAUAUUCGAAGUCAAACAAAAUGGACAGUUUCUGACAUUGCUUAUAGAACAUUGUUUGUCAACCUGCAGGGAUUUGAAAUAAUGAAUAGUAAAAAAAAAAACAAAAAACAAACAAACAAAAAAACCUUCAAAUAAAUCACAGUUAAUUUUUGAAAAAUCCAAUGUUAAAAUUUGAUGAUCAGAGUCAAGAAAAAUUGUGAAAGACUUGAAAAUUGACAAAAGUAAAGAUUAUUUUUCUCUGUUGCACUUUUCCAAGUUCUAUGCAGUGUUCACUGUCUUUGAACUAUUUUUCACUUUGCAAAUGGUAGAAAAUUGAUAAUGCCAGUAACUUGUCCGUGAAAAUGCAAAUAAAUUGUGUCUAGUGGAAUACACUUGAUACUUCCUCCAGUAAUACAACAUUUUGCUUAUAUUUGUGAAUCCAUUCAGCACCAGCAUUCCUUAUUGACCCUAUUCACCCAUCAAUCCCCCCAACCCCCACCCAUUCCAUCUUAAUCUAUCAUUUAUCUAUUUAUCUUCUGAAUUUUUCCUUUGAAACAAGUAAGACUAUUGAAUCAAAUAUGACUAUUUCUUGAAUUAAAUAAAAUCUGUGGUACAUUUUCAUCUUACAUUUGUGUGAGAGUCAUGUCUUCACUUUAUAAAAGAUUUCUCUUUUAACCUUCAGCUCAGAGUUAUUUUUCAAAACCUUGACUCUAACAAUGGCAUGUCCCUUAGUAACAACCACUUAUCUGUGGGAAGCCUGCAUGCUUAUCUUUCUGCUUUUGGGUGACAGAACUCACUGCCUUGAUAUGGGUGAUACAACUCCAAACUGUUAGAAAUUUUCCAACUUUAUUCAGAACCAAUUUUAGAGGUGAGGAAGACUGGUUUUGCUUGUAUUAAAAUCUGUAUGACUUUAUUUGCCACCUGUGAAAUUUGUUGGGUGAAAACCCAACCUCUGAAACACAGCUGAAUGUGACUAUUGAAAUUUUUGUUUUAUAUUAAAUGCUUUCUGUGAUUUAUGUGAUAAUGACUGUAAAUCCAUUGUGCCCAAGGAAGACAUUUCUCAGGAGCAAAAUGCAAACUCAGACAUACAUGAAAUACACUGUGCCAAGGAUCGAAGAACCAAAGGUGAUUUUUUUAUCUGAUUGCAAUUCUAAUAUGCAGUGGAUCAAGAUUUGAAAUGUUUAGGUACUUUAGCCUUGUUGCAGUACUUACUGACGCUCAUACAGUAUUCCCUGACUUUAUAGAUGUUACAUUUCAAGAAUAAUGUUGCUAUUCACCCAGCAUUUAUUGUCCAACUUACUGAUCUCCUUUGGAGCAAACAAUGACUUCACAGCCAAAUCACAUUUGACAGUGACUUCAGGAGAAGUGCAGGCUUAUGUAAUUCAAACAGAGAGUUUGUGCAGAAAACGUCUCAAGUCAGGGAAGAAAAAUGCCAGAACUUUGGGAAAACUCUUAAAAAUUCUGCUGAAAUGUGGCACUUGCAGCUUCUCAUAUUCCACUGGUCAAGCAAGUCACAGAGCCAAGAGUGACAUCAAUAAGACACAGAAGUAUAUAUAGUAAUGGUCAUAGAUACAGUAUCCUCUUCCAGGUCUGCAAAUAAUGGCAGCAAUAGGAAAUGCUUCAAUUCAUUUAUGUACUGAGAAUCUGAAAUGAAAAUCAACAUACAGGAAGAAUGACUUUUGCAUCCUAUCUAAGCCAUCACUUAUUUAAGAUGUUGAAAACAAUAUUUUCUUGCACUAAUGUGAGCAUGGUACUCCCUAAUUUAGGACUGAUUGUUUGGUGUCUCCUUGGCAAAAGAGGCUGUUGAGAAUACAACUAUUCAGGCUCCCAUGAACUCCUUAAAAGUGUCUGGAGCCCUGCAAGGAAUCAGAGGACCUGAAGAAACACCAGUGCCAAAGCUUUUGUGAGACUUACGCAGUCUGAAGCCAUGCACAUUCAGGUGAAGAAGUAUGAACUGAGCUGAUUUUAUUAUAUCAUGGUGCAAGCUAAGUAAUUGUGAUUUCCAAGUUACCAAGCAGGAAGCGAGUAUUUCUACUUGGAAAUCUCAGCCCUGAGACAGUGGCCAGUGAGUUUGACGACAGAUGAGCGAGUUCAACUGACUGACGUAAGACCCAGCUGAUGGUACCAGUUUUGAGUGGCUGCUGUGAAUGUGCAUGGAACUUGAGGCUUCACUGCCCCCAGCAAACACUUCCAUUCUUCCAAAGUUGUCUGCAGGAUUUGGGCUGCUGCUGUAUGAACACGACUGCAAAAUCAGACAUCAGAUGGAAGCAGUUCCCAGCCUCUACAGACAGAUGCUGAAUUAAUCUCCUACAAGAAUUGUGGUGGCACCUCUUGUGCAAUGAAGGCGAGCAGGAUACAUUACAAAUGAAAAGGAAGCAGACAACAUUGUUUUUACAGCAUAUCCAUCUGGCCCACCAGCACCUGCUAACCUCCGGCUGACCAACUCCACCGUCAACAGUGAUGGCAGUGUGACUGUCACUAUAGUUUGGGAUCUUCCCGAGGAGCUGGACAUCCCUGUGCAUCACUACAAGGUCUUUUGGAGCUGAACAGUCAGCAGAUCACUAUGUCCUAACAGUGCCCAAUCUGGGACUGUCUACUCUUUACCGACUGGAAGUGCAAGUGCUGACCCCAGGAGGGGAGGGGCUGGCCACCAUCAAGACGUUCCGAACACUGGAGCUUAUAAUUUAUGCUUAUAAUUUGAAGAAAACAAAAGCUAUCACAAUGGGAGAGUUUGAUAACUUCUAAAAUUUUUGUUGGAUAAAUGCUUUUCUGAUAUUCCUUCAUGGAAAUUCCAUUUAACAAAAGUUUUUGGUAAUUUUUAAGACUCUUUGAGCAAAUACAAAAGGAUUAUGGUUUGAUUAAAUAAUGGUGAGCUUAAAAAAAGAAGUUUGUCUUUUUUUGUUAUUGUUUUAUGGUUAGGGGAAAGCAUCAAGGAGGAAGAGUAAAACAGGAAAAGGAGAGAGUGUUUGUACAUUCAGAUUCAGAAUAGGAAAGACAUGAUCAUAGGAAGGAACAUCUGCCUGGGUCUUAUGUUUUCCAACAAAGAAAGGUAAUUCUGUCAUUUAUCUGAUAUGUUUAAAGGGAUGUGACUGAAAUAUUUUGUCACUUCUUAGGAUCCCAUCUUAAGCAUCAUCAUCCUCAUCAUUACAAGCCUUCUCCAGAAAAAUACUAAACUGUUCAAAAAGAUUUUUUGAAAUUACAUAGAUGUGUAAGCUUAUUGAACUUCGGCCAUGAGACAUGCACACUUCCAGAGGCAGUGGGAACUGCUCAGAGGUUCGUACUCUCCUAUGUGACUUUAGUGCAGGAAGAACUUCUGUCAAUCACGGAUGCAUCUGGAGACAAAUGUGAAACAGUAGAUUGGUGAAGACAGACACCAAUUCCUUACAAGCUUGGAGAAAAUGAAGAAUAGGCCUGUUUAACACUAAAUCUUGUUUUCUUGUAUAGUGUCACUCAUUUCUGUUGAAUUACAGCAUAAUUCAGUUUUACCUGAAUUUCUAGCACCAAACUUCCUUGCAAACAGUAGAGUAACAAAUACACAAUUCACACAUAACACUAACGAAGCAUAAAUCUAAUCAAUAAAAUAUAUUUUUGACUAAAUUAUUGAUUUGAUAUGAAAAAUCAACUAAGAUUAUAUAGCAUUGUUUAUUUGAAUUUUUCAUAAGAUCAUUUUUAUCGUGGGUUAAUAAGUUUAACCGUUUUAUCCAGGGUAACUGAAAAUGUGUAAUUUAAAACAUACCAGCUAAUUUAAAUAAUUAUUGCAUAAAUUUAACUUUAUAAAAUUUAAUUAUGUUUCUUCUGUCUGGAUAAUAGACAUUAGACAGGUAUUUCUAGUUAGGAUGGUAAUUAUGAAACUUACAUCUCCCUUAAAAAAUUCUAAAACAGCUCUUUUGGGCUUCUAAUUUCAAUAUAGUAUUUAAUAAUUUAAAUUUUAUUGGUGUUUUUAGAAGAAAAAUGCUAUUAAUGGGUAAUCGAAAUGUUUCUCUUAUGAAUUUUAAUAAGCUCCAUUAUUAUUCAAAUGAUCAAAAAUAUAGUUAUCUUUUUUGAAUUUGAAAAAUGUGAUUGCUCUAAUAAAGGAUAAAAAUCUGUUUUUUGACAAACAUAAUUUUGAGGCCUAGUUCUGUAAUAUGUAUUAUUGAAAUUAGAUACGUUUCUGUAAUGUGAGAAAAAUACAUCCUUUAAUUGUAUUGACUACUAAAAAAAUUGAGCUCAUCAAAAAUGUUGUCAUCAAAUACAGGUAACUUGAUAUACACUGCAGUUACAUACAUUAUUUUUAUUUACAACCUUUGCUCCUUUGGAUGAAUUUAUCUGUGUUACCCUGUUUUUCUACAUGAAACUCCAUAGAGUGAUGUUUGUAAACAAACAUGUACUCUUUUCAGUCUUUCACUCUUUUAACAUGAUAUGGUAGAAAAGAUAAAGUUUGUGGCAGGUAAUUUUUUAUAAUGUUUAUUAAAUGAAGUUCAAAGAUUAAAAAUACAUCUAUCUCCUGAAAACCUUAGACUCUAUACAGAGUUUCAUCACAACUCCAGACUAUUGACUUUUGGGGCUGGAUAGUUCUGUGUUGUGAAGAGUUGUCCAGUGCAUUGUAGGAUUUUAGUAGCAUCCGCAGUUUCUCCUCACCGGAUGCCAGUUGCACCCUCCCCAGGGUUGAGACAACCAAAAUGUCUCCAGAUAUUGUCAACUGCCUCCUGAUGGGAUGGUGACCCUGAUAGAAAACCAUUGCUAGAGAAUGAUCUUUACUGAAUAGAUAAGAAUUUGCCCUUUGCAAGAAACCCAGUAAAUUACUAGGGCAAGUCACCGAAAACUAAGAGACAGCUAAGAAGUUAUCAUGCUUGACUUCAAAGGCCUAAACUGUGUAUUUUAUGUCCACCAAACAACCUGAUUAAAAGACAGAAUUUUGACUUGUGUCCAUAUCAUAUAGAUUCAAAUACUAAUUUUGCUCUAUGUAUCUGUAAAUGUCAUUUGUGAUAUUGACUUAUUUAUAUAAUGCUCUUGCUUAUGUUGUGAGUUUUCAAGUUUACUCAUUUUUUUUGUUGCAAAUCACUCUUAAAACUUAUAAGCUUUCACAUUAUAAGCAGAACACAAAGGCUAUAUAUCUGCUGCAUGUACUUCAAAGUUUAUAAGAUAUAAACAGAUCUGCAAAGAUGUUGACUCUUUUCUAUGGUUUUGCAUGGUCAGACUCAGUGUCAGGUAUGGAGAGGAUUCUCAAGACUAUCUUACCUCUAUUGAAUAUUUUAGUGAGUUAUAUGAUUUACACAGUGAUUAACAGAGGUCUAUAUGAAAUUAUUUUACCCCUUUACUUAACUAUAUUGUAAUGUGCAGAUAAUAAAAUUUCUACCUUCUCAUCUAAAUGGUCUGUAGAAUUCAUGUCCCUUAGUCAUUUAAAGUCAAUAUUUAUUUAUGUGUGCAAUAAAAAAGUUUGAUUUUUGUGUAUAUCUGUCAUAUUAUUUAGAGAGAAGUGAUUUUGUAAAAAAUGUUUUGUAAAAAACAAAAAAAAGUAUUGUAAAUAGUGUUGAUAAUCUGUGACUCAUUAUUUUCAUGUUAGAAUUUGUACAUACGGUUCAGUAAUAAAGCAUCUUUAAACCAGA